UACAGAGGGUGCAAGCGUUGUUCGGAAUUAUUGGGCGUAAAGGGCGCGUAGGCGGUGCGGUAAGUCUGUAGUGAAAUCUCUGGGCUCAACUCAGAGUCUGCUGCAGAAACUGCCGUGCUUGAGUGUGGGAGAGGUGAGUGGAAUUCCCGGUGUAGCGGUGAAAUGCGUAGAUAUCAAGUGGAACACCAGUGGCGAAGGCGAGUCUCUGGACAUUUCCUGACGCUGAGGCACGAAAGCCAGGGGAGCAAACGGG
rnacentral:rRNA from 1 species